UACAGAGGGGGCAAGCGUUGUUCGGAAUUACUGGGCGUAAAGGGCGCGUAGGCGGCCUGCUAAGUCGAACGUGAAAUCCCCGAGCUCAACUCGGGAACUGCGUCCGAUACUGGCAGGCUUGAAUCCGGGAGAGGGAUGCGGAAUUCCUGGUGUAGCGGUGAAAUGCGCAGAUAUCAGGAGGAACACCGGUGGCGAAGGCGGGUCUCUGGGCAACAACUGACGCUGAGGAGCGAAAGCGUGGGGAGCGAACAGG
rnacentral:rRNA from 1 species